UUCAUAUGUAGUCGUUAUUCUCCUCCUCCGUUCUCCAUCCAUCGACUAAAAGCACUCAGCAGCAAUGCCUCCACCACCGCCAUCAACAUCGCUUUCAACAGCAGCAGCAGCAGAAACAACACCAGCAACAUCGCUUUCAAUUCCGUUGUAGAGUUGGCAGGUCACUGCUGUGUACGAGAACCAUAUCAAAGAUUCCUAUUGAAGAUGGAGAUGAUACUAAACCAAGAAUGGAAGUGAGAUUAGUUAAUAGUUGCCAGCAUGAUUAAAAUCAUACAUGAAUGUUGGUGUGUGAGGGGAUGUAUUUGCUCUGUAUUUAAUUCCAUGAAAAAUCAUAGCUUCCCUACUUGGUGUUUAGAGUUUUAUCCCCAGAAUUGUGUUUUGGGAAGCACCAGAGUUCUUAAGACAUGCAUGGUUUUGAUCUAGAAAUGUCCUUGCCACAGCCACUUAAGAAGAAGUUCCAUCACAUGAAUACCUUCAUGUCAGCAAAUCCAAGCUCCGACAACUCCCUCACUCUAUCAAUGUAUCCUGGAUAAUAAUAAUAAAGAAAUUAAUUUUGGUUUAAUC